UGGGGAAUUUUGGACAAUGGGCGCAAGCCUGAUCCAGCCAUGCCGCGUGAGUGAAGAAGGCCUUCGGGUUGUAAAGCUCUUUCGGCGGGGACGAAAAGGUCCGUGCUAACACCACGGAUCCAUGACGGUACCCGCAGAAGAAGCACCGGCUAACUACGUGCCAGCAGCCGCGGUAAUACGUAGGGUGCAGGCGUUAAUCGGAAUUACUGGGCGUAAAGCGUGCGCAGGCGGUCUAUUAAGACAGGUGUGAAAUCCCCGGGCUUAACCUGGGAACUGCGCUUGUAACUGAUAGGCUUGAGUGUGGCAGAGGGGGGUGGAAUUCCAGGUGUAGCAGUGAAAUGCGUAGAGAUCUGGAGGAACACCGAUGGCGAAGGCAGCCCCCUGGGCUAACACUGACGCUCAUGCACGAAAGCGUGGGGAGCAAACAG
rnacentral:rRNA from 1 species